rnacentral:lncRNA from 1 species
AAAAUUUUCGAGUUGUCCGAUAAAAUCGAACGCCAGGCAUGAAAAAUCAGUUUUAAUUUUUUUUAUUUUAUUUAUAACAAUUAUAAAUAUUAAAUUUAACUUUUGUGUAAAAUUACCUCAAGGCCGUAGCGGAAGUUGGUCGAGGUAAUUUGAAUCUGGAUCUGGAUCUGGAUCCCUGAAGGUAGCUCUGCGAGGCCUGGAUCUACAAGCCCUCUACUUCGCACGCACGUCAAACUUCGCAAGAAGGUUGGAUGAUGUUUUUACUCGUGCAAAACAAUCUUUUGCAAAAGGACCCUUGGAAGAAAAGAAAUCCAGAAAAAAGGACGUUCCCUUUUCUCUUUCUUUCUU